rfam:Triticum aestivum genome assembly, contig: Triticum_aestivum_CS42_TGACv1_scaffold_222234_3B
ACUCUACUACCCUCCGUCUGAAAAUACUUGUCAUUGAAAUGGAUGUAUCUAGAUGUAUUUUAGUUCUAGACACAUCCAUUUUGAUGACAAGUAAUUCCGGACGGAGGGAGUAUUAU